GAGAGUUUGGCCGAGUGGUUUAAGGCGUCAGAUUUAGGUUCUUCUAAAUUCUCUGAUAUCUACGGAUUCGCGGGUUCGAAUCCCGUAGCUCUCA